rnacentral:rRNA from 1 species
CCCUUAGAUGUUCUGGGCCGCACGCGCGCUACACUGACGAAUUCAACGAGCUUUCCUUGGCCGGAAGGUCCGGGUAAUCUGCGAAAUUUCGUCGUGAUGGGGAUAGAUUAUUGCAAUUAUUAAUCUUCAACGAGGAAUUCCUAGUAAGCGCGAGUCAUCAGCUCGCGUUGAUUACGUCCCUGCCCUUUGUACACACCGCCCGUCGCUCCUACCGAUUGAAUGGUCCGGUGAAGCGUUCGGAUGAGUGUGGGGAGGCGGUUCGCCGCCCCUUCACAUUCAGAAGUUCGUUAAACCUUAUCAUUUAGAGGAAGGAGAAGUCGUAACA